rnacentral:rRNA from 1 species
AAUUUUGGAAAAGGGUCGCAAGCCUGAUCCAGCCAUGCCGUGAGAGUGAAUAAGGCCUUCUGGUUGUAAAGCUCGUCCGGACGAAAAGAAAUCGCGCAGGCUAAUACCCUGCGAUGAUGACGAUACCGUCAUUAGAAGCACCGGCUAACUACGUGCCAGCCGCCGCGGUAAUACGUAGGGUGCGAGCGUUAAUCGGAAUUACUGGGCGUAAAGCGUGCGCAGGCGGUUGAUUAAGACAGGCGUGAAAUCCCCGGGCUUAACCUGGGAACUGCGCUUGUGACUGGUCAGCUAGAGUACGGCAGAGGGGGGUGGAAUUCCACGUGUAGCAGUGAAAUGCGUAGAGAUGUGGAGGAACACCGAUGGCGAAGGCAGCCCCCUGGGCCGAUACUGACGCUCAUGCACGAAAGCGUGGGUAGCAAACAGG